UCUACCACACCACCACUUGCUGGUUUCAGUGAACUACGAAUUUCUGCUGGCCACCAAGGCAUUAACAGGAGAUUUUUCUGCAACAGGGCUGGCAGCUUAAUCCUUUUGUGUUCUUUACUGAUGUUUAUACCUUUCCACCUCCACCUGCCUUUCAGACACCAGUGAAUAAGUGUCAGGUCCUGAUUCUGACCACUUUGAUGUGGACAAAUAGAAAUAAAAUCACUACAGUCAAUAGAAUUACACCAAAAAAACCUACCUCAUAUCACUAGAAGGAGAAAAGAACAUAUAAAGUGCUGACUGUCAGCUUUGCAAAAUGCAUUAUGGGAAAUUCUGAGUACACUUCUUCAAAAAAAAGCUGGAAAGUGUUUAGCAAAAAAAAUCCCACAACACUAUUGUUGGAAUAUAUCCUACACAGCCCGGGAGUCAGCCAACUUUAGCAACACUCUUCUCUCAUAUGCAGGAAAAAGCUUUUGCUUCAGCUGAGUCCAGCUGCUUCUUAUUGACAAUCAGAUGUACUGGCACAGAGAGCAUCUAAUCUGGAUUGUGGCCAUCUACAAGUAGCUAGAAGCACACAAAUAAUAAUGGUUCAUCAUUGCACACUGAUUUAUAUGAGGCAGGCAGUGACAUGCAUAUAUCCAUUAUUUUUUCUUUCAGUCUUUGUUUGAACUCCUCAUUGCCUGACUAAUAAAACACACUGAUAGAGGCCACCAGGAAAGGAGGAGCUUAGCACAGGGGCAUGCCAGCAGCACUUCACAUUCAGUAAGUACAGGGUUCCUUUCACUGCCUGUGCCUGUCAGAGGAGUUUCUACAGCGCUACAUCACUAGAGAGGCUGCCAUCAGGGCUGCAGAGGAUUGCAGGCUGGUCUGAGAAAUGUUCCUACUGGUGAAGCAAAGCAGAGCAGAAAUAUGCAAAGCAAGCCUCACUGCUGAUUGUACCCUCUCAUUUGUAUGCUCAGCACUCUUCCAGUAAUGAAUCAUCAGCCCAAGUUGUGCUCAGCUCAUCAUGGCUAGAAAUGCUGCAAUAGCACCACACUGGGUGGGGGGACACAGAUUCAUCUCCAAAUGACCAAGCAGAGGAGAUAGUGCAUGGCUAUGAAAGUGGCAAAAUUAUACCUUGCUGAUGUUGAAAGUGGCAUAAUAUACAGGUAUCCAUGGCAGAGUUGAAGAGAGGAGAGAUACACCAUGACAAGGUGUCUGCAGUGCAAUGUGCAUCAGUGGUGAAGCAAAUGUUAUUCCCCUCUAGUCAGAGUACUCUAGAGCACAGCAAAAUUGCACAGCUGUGUCCGUGUUUUCUUUAGUGAGGAAAACUUUUCAUGUCAAGGCAGGGGAAAGCAAUGUAUGCCACAGAGAAAGAACACUCCAUCCCUUUCCAAUCACCCAAACAAUCUAGGGAAAUAACACAAUGUUUUAGACAAAAUGCUUCAUACAUUCCCAGCCAGAAAGGCACGCUCUGUUCCAGGUGUCUGCAGCACUUACCUUAACGUGGUGCCUGGAAUUUGCACCCUGGUGAGCAACAGAAGGGAGAAGGGAGCUACCAGUCCCAUGGACACCUGAGACCAACCAUGAACUUUUUCCUAGUGAUCCCAUCUCUGUAAAAAGAUGCACCUGUGCCUGCCAAGAACAAAGCUUACAUGUGGAGAUAACAGAGCAACACAGUAGGUUUUUUUCCAAGAUUUUAUUAUGAGAGAGUGAGGGAGUUGUUUUUUUUUUUUUUUUAGCAGCUCAGUUUUGGUUACAGAGAUUUAUGCAUCAGCUUAGCCAAGUGGAACAAAGCAGAGGAUUGGAAGAAGUGGAGGGACACACCAACCCUCAGCUACUUGCCCUGCAGAAGAAUGACAUCAGUCUCCACCUUGGGACUGCACUGGCACACAGAGCCCAGACCCUGGAGCAGAAGUGGGAUACAGCAGAAGACCACCAUUGACGACAAUGGCUCCUGAGAAUACAACUCCAAGAACUCCCUGCAGAGAAGGAAACCCAAGCCUUUCUGCAUCCUACCCCUCCAAGUUCCCUUUUCCCAUCACUAUUGUACUGUCAUGUUUAGGGCAUCACAGAUGCAAGUAGAAGGCAUAUGAAACCAUCAUUUUGAGCACAGCCACAUUGCUGCCUUGCCCUCUGAUGGUGACAGCUGGCAGGAGUCAUCAUCUGCUUCAGGCACCUGGGCUGGCGGACUCGAGGUUCUGCAUAGCCAGAGAGCAAACCAAGUUCCAAGAAACAUUAGCCUGAUCCUUCACACAGCAUCCACCCUGCUGUGACAGCGCAACAGCAUCGGGUUAGCAGCUGCCUGAGCACUGGGAGGAAGGCUGAGGGAUGGACUGAGGCAUGUGGCAGCUUGGAGAAACUGAGACUCGGACUGUACAGUAGCUGUAUAUGAGCUAUCUUUGUUUAAAUUCUUGCAUUUCCUCCACAUAAAAGAUAGUCCAAAUGAGAGCAGAAUCUGGCUUUACUUUUCAUGUGCUCCACGUGUUAUUACAUAAUCCCUUCUGAAAGUAUUUAAUUACACUUGUAAACACAGUGUCUGUGAUAAUAGAAAACUCCGGUGGUGUACCGUACUAAAAUCCUUUGGCCAGCAUCCACUGCUCCAUGGAAAGACACAAAACUCUUUGGCAUUAAGUUAUUACCAAGUAAGCUGCUUGUAGGUUGUUUCUUUCCAGCUUCCAAUGAAGCUAAAGGAUAAUCUCUGCCUGAAAACAUAGGACUGAAUGUGCUGAUUGCUUUCCUUUAACUCCUUUUUUAUAAUUUAAGCAGAGUACUGGUUUUGAUCCUGAUUACAAAAGUUGUGGGCUAGAUGCUAAUAAACAGUUGGGAAAGAAAUCAACAGAACAGUACAUGCUCUGGAAAGAAAUCAACAGAACAGUACAUGCCCUGCUCACCAACUUUGGCACAAAGGAGUCAUCAUGGAAUUUCACUGUCACAAAAGUACCUAACAUUAAGGCUUGUAAGGUAGAAAGAUAACUUCACGAGUCAGUAUCCUGGUAUCAAAGCUGCCACAUCAUACUUAUGUAAGACGUAGACUACUGACCACUUUUGUGGAAAGUAGUCCACACUUCUAAUGUUUUUCCAAGCACAAUAUUGUCAGAACUGGAUUAUAAAACAAACAAACAAACAAACAAACAAACAAACAAAUAAAUAAAGGCAAGUUUACUAUAGUAACAUUGGCAGAAUGGAAUUAUUCUACCGAAAAUAUAAAUUACUGUAUAUUUAUUUUAGACCAAAAUGCCAGAAUCUGUCCCACUUCUUUGCAAAACUUUCAGUGAAAAGCAGAAUUUACACUAGAUGCAAAGCAUCCCUGGUGCAGAAGAUGCACAACUACACAGAAAAUUUAUUUCCCAGAGGAAAAAAAUAACCUACAACUUCUCAUUAGGUAAUUGCAGAUAUUGUCAUGAGACGUGAGUUAUCUACCCAGUGACUAAAUGUCAUUCAUCCUUCCCAAAGGUAACUGAAUAGGUUUACCUCAUCUCAGGAGAAAACUAAAGGCUAUUCUUGUGUGGUCUGUAUUGCUGACUUCCAAACACAAUUUCCUGGAGUCUCCCAUACAAUCUCUCCCUCAUGCCUGAUGAUCAUACACAGGCUGGUGCCUGGACUCAUGCUAAACAUGUAACUGUGCAGCAGGUUUUUACUGAUUUUGGAAGGAAAAGGGUUUUCUGAAAGAAGAGCUGUUGGCUUCCUUUUAGUUGUUGUGAGAAUGAAGGCAAAUGAAAGUAAGAACUAAAUUUGGUGUCCAAAUGCUUUGUAUUGUUCCAGAAAAGGUACUGUGCCAACAGCAACAAAUUCUGGUGCAGCACAUUCACAGUGAUAGUGGCAGUGACAGACCAUGUCCAGGCCCUGUUUUAUCAGAUUUCUCUAACACACUACGUCCUUUGCAAAAGGUGGGACAGCCUGGGCAGGACAGGAAACUAGUCACACUGAAAAGGAGUAAUGUCCUCUUCCAACUGGAAAAUUGGUAAAAUGCAGCUGAGGCUUCUCUCAAGCAACUGGAGCUUCCACAAGGGAUCAGGUACCAGGACUUCUCUCUGGGGAGAGAAUUCUCUUCAGCUAGAAGAGAACUACUGCAUUAGAGGUGAGACCAAAAAGAACCCCAGCCAAGGCAAAGGAGACUGGAACAUACUGGUGGUGCAACAAGGGUGUUCAUUGCUAUGGCCUUUGCAGCUACUCUGCAGUUGCAAGAUGAUCAUCUGCAACCACCUCAGAGACAGCACGAUCUGCAAAACCCCAGGUGAAAGACACAAUUCUGCUUUGGGAAAGUUGUCAAACAUUACUCCCAAGCUCUUAUUUUAACAACUGAAACCCUGAGUAAAAGAUUAAAUUGAAGAAGGGUAGUUAAUCAACACUAGACUUUUCUUUAGCUGAAACAAAUCAAAACAACAUGUUUUGGGAACUUGCAAUAUCAUACCUCCUGUACAAAAUAAGUAUUUUUACUAACAUCCUUACAAAUCCUGGGAUUUUAUCAAGAGGUUAAGUGUUUAUUUUGUUGUUCAGUUUAAGAUUCAGGAAUCAUACAGAUACAGAUUUUGGUCUCAAAGUUUCUACCACUUAUGGUAUACAUGGAAAUGUGGAAAGCUUCAUAAAUCCCUUUCCCUGUCUUCUUCCUUUCCCGAACCUUCCAGGCCCCCAGGAAUAAAAUAUCAAUAAAAGAAAAGAGGCCCACUAUGAUUUUGCAUCUCUGUCAUAAUACUCAGAUGCCACUUCAACAGUAUUUUUUCUUGGAAAAUUUAUGAAAAUUUUUUUGCUACCACCAAAGUUACAUUCCUUGAUAAUAAUCUAAGCUAUUAAAAUAGAUUUUUCCUUUCAAGAAAAA